rnacentral:rRNA from 1 species
AGUGAACGCUGGCGGUAGGCCUAACACAUGCAAGUCGAACGGCAGCACAGUAAGAGCUUGCUCUUACGGGUGGCGAGUGGCGGACGGGUGAGGAAUACAUCGGAAUCUACUUUUUCGUGGGGGAUAACGUAGGGAAACUUACGCUAAUACCGCAUACGACCUACGGGUGAAAGCAGGGGAUCUUCGGACCUUGCGCGAUUGAAUGAGCCGAUGUCGGAUUAGUUAGUUGGGGGGGUAAAGGCCAACCAAGGCGACGAUCCGUAGCUGGUCUGAGAGGAUGAUCGGCCACACUGGAAGGGAGACACGGUCCAGGCGACUACGAGAGGCAGCAGUGGGGAAUAUUGGACAGUAGGCGCAAGCAUGGUCCAGCCAUACCGCGUGGGAGAAGAAGGCCUUCGGGUUGGAAAGCCCGUUUGUUGGGAAAGAAAAGCAGCAGGUUAAUACCCCGCUGUUCUGACGGUACCGAAAGAAUAAGCACCGGCUAACUUCGUG